rnacentral:lncRNA from 1 species
UUCUGAUUUUCUUUCAUACAUGGUGUCAUGGCAACAGGAAGAAUUCAAAACUAAUCAUAAUCCAGACAAGAUGGCCUCUACUUAUAUUAGAUGUUGGUUUUAUCCUUGCCUUGUGAUUUUAUUUGUGCCAAAACAAGAUCAAUGGAAUUCUUUGCUGCUAAGGAUUUUGUUUUCCAGUGGAAAUGUAACAAUUAUUUAUUCCCUCAAAAAUGAACCCCUACAAGUGAACAUGGACACAGUCCAAGGGAAAGGUGCCUUCAAAAUUCAGAAUGUGUAAGUUAAAAUUUGCAUGUUUGUAUGUUCUUGAUGUACAAAUAGACAUUUUGUUCAAUUUAAUGGGGG